UACCAGCACCCCGAGUGGUCGGGACGUUUAUUGGGCCUAAAGCAUCCGUAGCCGGUUCUACAAGUCUUCCGUUAAAUCCAGCUGCUUAACAGAUGGGCUGCGGAAGAUACUAUGGAGCUAGGAGGCGGGAGAGGCAAGCGGUACUCGAUGGGUAGGGGUAAAAUCCGUUGAUCCAUUGAAGACCACCAGUGGCGAAGGCGGCUUGCCAGAACGCGCUCGACGGUGAGGGAUGAGAGCUGGGGGAGCAAACCGG
rnacentral:rRNA from 1 species